rnacentral:rRNA from 1 species
ACGCACGCUGGCGGCGUGCUUCACGCAUGCAAGUCGCACGGAAAGGCCCUGCUUUUGUGGGGUGCUCGAGUGGCGAACGGGUGAGUAACACGUGAGUAACCUGCCCUUGACUUUGGGAUAACUUCAGGAAACUGGGGCUAAUACCGGAUAGGAGCUCCUGCUGCAUGGUGGGGGUUGGAAAGUUUCGGCGGUUGGGGAUGGACUCGCGGCUUAUCAGCUUGUUGGUGGGGUAGUGGCUUACCAAGGCUUUGACGGGUAGCCGGCCUGAGAGGGUGACCGGCCACAUUGGGACUGAGAUACGGCCCAGACUCCUACGGGAGGCAGCAGUGGGGAAUAUUGCACAAUGGGCGGAAGCCUGAUGCAGCAACGCCGCGUGCGGGAUGACGGCCUUCGGGUUGUAAACCGCUUUCGCCUGUGACGAAGCGUGAGUGACGGUAAUGGGUAAAGAAGCACCGGCUAACUACGUG